UUGGGACCUGAAAAAAGAAGAAAGAAAUCAUCUAUGAGAAUACCCACACACACCCCUCAUCAUGGUGAUUCAACACUUGAACACCUAAGGGUGUGUUUGCAAAAUUGACUUUGGAGUCAUAAAAUAUACACAUAUGAUAACUCUUAUGUUUGAUUCCUUUCAUUUCUAUCUCUUUUGUGUGUGUAAAAAACACAAUGUAAAGGAAAGCCAUGAACAUGAGUGAAAAUCCAGUCUACAACUCUCUUGCAUUCAGUACACCAGGAUCCCCAUUUAUUCAAUGAGUCCAUUCCAAAUAACAAAGAUAUU